rnacentral:lncRNA from 7 species
CUUCCUUGAAGUUCGGUUAACUAUUUGUUUGAGUUCCACCUGCCUAUGAUAGUAUGAAUCUGCAAUGCAGGAGCUGAGUGCAAUUGUUCCUGCCCGGGAUAAACAGACCAUCAUAAAAACAGCUAUCAGUAAGGUAGAUACACUUUUUUAUUGUUGUGCCUAUGAAUUAUUUUUAUGGUAUUGCUUAGUAAAAA